UACGUAGGGGGCAAGCGUUUGUCCGGAUUUAUUGGGCGUAAAGAGCGUGUAGGCGGCCUGACAGGUCUGCUGUGAAAACUCGAGGCUCAACCUCGAGAUGUCGGCGGAAACCGUCUGGCUAGAGUCCGGAAGAGGAGAGUGGAAUUCCUGGUGUAGCGGUGAAAUGCGCAGAUAUCAGGAAGAACACCUAUGGCGAAGGCAGCUCUCUGGGACGGUACUGACGCUGAGACGCGAAAAGCGUGGGGAGCGAACAGG
rnacentral:rRNA from 1 species